rfam:Roseovarius mucosus DSM 17069 Contig289, whole genome shotgun sequence.
AGCCGCAAGGCGGUCACCUUCAUACCUCCCUGUUGGACUUCGGCCGAGCUUAGUGCUCGGCCUUUUUU